GUGUGUGUGUGUGUGUGUGUGUGUGUGUGUGUAUAUGUAUGUAUGUGUAUAUAUAUAUGCACACACACACACACACACACACAC
rnacentral:miRNA from 1 species